rnacentral:rRNA from 2 species
CAGACCUCUAAUCGGAAAAGACUACCCGUCU